GCAAGGGGCAUGGAGCGUCGAUCCAAUAUCCACCAGCGAUGAAGGAAGUGGGGAUGGACAUCCGUCGAUCUGCCGUCCCUGCUUUGUGGAGCCCACGUAUACUUAUUGACAGGGUUUGUCUACACUUAUCUUUAAGGCUACAACCUGGAGUCUCAUGGGUGUGAAGAUGAUCUAGGGCAUUGCUUUGUUAGGGGUUCACUUAUGUACAGGAAUGUCAUGUUCUUUCC